UUAAGAGAAUGUCAAUGUCAUUACCCACAUUAAGUGGAUAUGGGAAUACAUUUGAUGA
rnacentral:ncRNA from 1 species